GUUCCCAUGUUACUCUCGGAGCUUGGAACAUAGUAGAUGUUUAACAAAUGUUUGUGACUAACAAGAGUUUGUGAUAAACGAGGGACUGUGUUAAACCCAGAAAUACCAAGAAAAGCAAAAACAUGAUGCCUAUCUUUAAAGAGCUACCAUUCUAAUGGAAGGAAGUUUGGAGACUACGUCGGAAAGAGGAGCUAAUCUCUGUGUUCUCUCUAUGGAUAUGGAUGGCAUUUUGCAUCACAAGUCUACUGGAAUUGUCUUGGAUCACUUCAUUCCUGAGAAGAGCUAAGUCUAUGAUAGAUGGGUCAUCAUAAUCUUGCUGUUGAUGUAUAGAAUAUUUUCCUGGUUUUGUUAACUUCACUCAGCAUCAGUUCAUCUUUAGUGCCUCACUUGAAGAUUUGGUAUUCUCA
rnacentral:lncRNA from 1 species